GAGUUUGAUUAUGGCUCAGGAUGAACGCUGGCGGCGUGUGUAACACAUGCAAGUUGGACGACGGUGCUAUGAAGUGGUAACACGGAAUGGUAUACGGAGUAGCGGACGGGUGAGUAAAGCAUGAGGAGCUGUCCUGUUGAGGGGGAUAACGUUCGGAAACGGACCCUAAUACCCCAUAGGCCGAGAGGUUAAAGGCAGAGAUGCGCGACAGGAGGUACUCGUGUCCUAUCAGCUGGUUGGUGAGGUAACGGCUCACCAAGGCGACGACGGGUAGCCGGCCUGAGAGGGUGACCGGCCACACUGGAACUGAGACACGGUCCAGACUCCUACGGGAGGCAGCAGUGGGGAAUAUUGGGCAAUGGGAGGAAUCCUGACCCAGCGACGCCGCGUGAACGAAGACGGCCUUCGGGUUGUAAAGUUCUUUUAUGUGGGAAGAAGGAAGUGA
rnacentral:rRNA from 1 species